rnacentral:tRNA from 1 species
GGGAAUAUAGCUCAGUGGUAGAGCAUUUGCCUAGCAUGCAAAGUCCUAUGUUCA